GGCUGGGCCAAGAGUCCAGCUGCUGCUGGCUGGAGAUUCAGUGACUUAUUUGUUGUGACUCCCGGCCUGGCAGUGUCCGGACUCGUAGCCCCGCUGUCCGCACCGGGACCGCUAGCCCUAGCCCCGAGCCUAGGUCACAGCCACAACCCCAUCCCGUCGGUUAUCCUUUGAGUACAGGUCCUUUCCCCGCACACCUUGCGCUCCCUAACAUGCCCAACCCCAGCAGCACCUCCUCUCCCUACCCCCUCCCUGAGGAAAUUAGGAACCUGUUGGCAGCAGACACAUUGAGAGGGGAAAAUUUAUCCAAGAAAGCAAAGGAAAAGAGAGAAUCCCUUAUUAAGAAGAUAAAAGAUGUAAAGUAUACCUAUCUUCACGAAUUUCAAGACAAAGGUGAUGCAGAAGAGGGGGAAGAAUAUGAUGACCCUUUUGCUGGGCCUCCAGACUCUAUUUCCCUAGCCUGAGAACGAUAUGACAAAGAUGACGAAGCCCCCUCUGAUGUGCUGAGAAUUCAACUCAGGGCCUCCAGCACAUGAAGUAGGUCCUCUGCCUAUCACCAUCUCUUUCCAAUUUGUAUUCCAUACUACUCUGUUACCUCCCAGUCCUCAUCUUCUUCUACUCUUUUGGUCACUGAAUUAGAAAAAUAACCAAGGUAUGUGUACUUUAGCUAUGUUCAAAUAUUUUAUUUGUUGUAAUAAUACUUAAAAGUGGAGAAAUUUAGGAUAUAUUCCCUGACUACUGCUUGGAGUGUACUUUUGUGUUAGUACCUACUAGGUCAUACAUGUGUUUAGCCAGCAGAAUUGGAAGUACGGUUGAUAUUCUCCUAAGAUGAGAGGCUUGGCAAAUAUUUGUGCCUACAUUUAAGACCAAAAAACCUGUAUGUGAAAAUGGGCUAAAAGAUUUGGAUUAGAGGCAGGCUAAAUUUUCAGCAGAAAAUAAUUCUAGUUCUAUCCUAACAAAAAGACAAAUGGAUUGUUGAGGACUAAGUCUCUUAAAUUUACUACUUUGGCUCAUCAGUUGUCCUACUUAACAAAAGAGAUAAUGGGUAAAGUAACCAUCUUAUAUAAGGAAUGUAGGGCAUACAAGAAAAUAUUUAUCAGAUUAAGAAGGCAGAGAGAAGGGUUUGUCAUGGAAGAGGAGCUGGAAGUAGAGAAGAAAGAGAAAAGAUAGGACUUAGUGUACAUCUGGUGAGUACAGGCUUGAGAAGGCCUCAGGGGGAAAUUCAUUGAUCAAGGAUAAGUCCUGGCACAUAGGACAUGACCAGUAUUAGCUCUUGGCUAUUAUAGUUACAUGUAAUAUAUAAUGAUUGGCUAUUCUGUGGGUAGAGACAAGGGAGAGUAAGUACCUAGAGGAAAAAUGGAGGAAAACCAAUGGUAGAUUGUGUCUGGGCUGAAUCCUGAUUCUUAGAUUCUUUUCUCAAGGAAGUGAUAGCAUCUUUAAAGAAAAUGGGAAAGUGGAUAAGAAAGAUCAAGGCUGUUGAACUUGAAGGAGUGUUGAGAAAAUUAGUCAAAGCUGUUUGAGAGGGAGCCUGAGAUAUGGAAUAGAGAUAUGGAGAAUCACUGAUUUAUUUGCCUAAACAUGUUGAAUGUCAUGAAAAAGAUAAGACUUGCCAGAGAAUGUAGAAGGAGAUGGAUUAGGAUGUUCAGAGUGGAGACAUCUGCCCCAACUUUCCUCACAGGUAAAUCAGGAGAAUUGUCACUUUUGUUUCUAAACAUAUGAUCCAAAGUUACAGAAUUGUAGAAGCCAUUAAUUACUUUCACUUAGUAUGAUUAUAUAGCCACAGGAUACACUUUAUCUUGGUAGUUUCUUUGGCAUUCAUUUGAAUGCCGGUAUGAUCAGCCUUUUCCUUUCUCAUUGUUUUUUAUUGUCUAAUUAUUUUCUUCUUUGUAAUUCAGGCAUCAUGUUAUGUUACUAUGCCUUGUCCUAGCAGCUUAAAUAAUAAUAAGCGGUAUUCAAGGGAAACCAAAUAUAAUUCUAGUAUCUGCAUGUAAGGACUUUAAAGAAGAUAAAAUUUAUAUUUCAUCAGCUCAAGGGUAACUUGUACAGUUGUGGUUAAGUGCAUAGAUAACUAUAUCAUAAAUACCUUGGUUUAAUCCUGGUUUGACAUUGUGACUUUGGAAAAAUUAUUUUCUCUCUAAGCCUUAGUUUCUUAAUUUAUAAAAAUAGGAACAAGUAUAAUAUCUCAUAAGAUUGUAGUAAAGAUAAGGAAGGUCCUGGCACAUAGGAUAUACCCAAUAUUAGCUCUUGCCUAUUAUGAUGUCACAAGAUAUUUGAACAUAGGUAAUUUAAGUUAUGUUGAACAAUAUUGCAUUUAAUCAUAUCAUAGCUACUUACAUAUUACACUGUAUACUGUAAGUAGGUAAAAGAUGAGUUGAUAACACUAGGAUUCUUUUUUGUAAUUGAAUAUUCAGUUUUUUACUGUAACCUAACUUUCAUGUGGUGAUUCAUAUGUGUCAUGGCCUAUGUUAAAUUUCAGUGAUCUUUUUAUUUGGAUGAGUUGUAUUUAUCUUCCUGUUUCUGUCAGACGAUAGGAAAGUAAUAAAAUAAUAACAAGUGAAUUUUAUCAAAGUGAACUUGAGAGCCAUUAACUGGAUAAUUUGUUAGAAAAGUGAUAAUGAGAUAAAAAUGUGAAUUAUCCUGAAAUUCAGAAUGGCUGCAUUUUUUGGUUGUCUAAUACUGAUGUCUUCAAAGUUUUCCUUUGUAUGGUAAAAAUGAAUGAGAGAUAAGCAUUUUUCUUUACAUGGACAAUAUUUGGGUUUUAUAUAGUAAUAGAUGCUUUAUUUUAAAAUUGUUCCCUGAUAUAUCUUUUCUUGCUUUGUUUUGCUAAUCUUAAACUUUAUUAAUAGGGUGUCUUAUUGUCACAAACUAUUUCUUCUCUAUUGACAUUAUUUAAAUCCUCUACUCUUUUUAUUUUAUCUAAUUUUUAUUUUAAAAUAUAUUUUUAAAAUAUAUUUUAAUGUAUUUUUAUGGUUAGAAACCUAUGGACCUGUAUGAUAAUUCUGUAAAUUAAUUAUAUUCCUCUGAGAUGAUAAAAGCAUUGUUAGCUUAUUAUUUAGUAUAGAAAUAUGAAGGUUGAACAGCUAUUUAGUGCAAAAUUAUGGUGGAGGAAUGUGUCCUAAGGAGUUCAAACACUGAUGUUAAUUUUGCAUUUUAUAAGCUUUCAGUCAAGCUAUUUGAACACAUACACAAUUUUUGUUAGAUAAGGAAAGAUGACUUAGGUGUGGUUUGGGUAAAGUACAUCUUCUUAGAUUAAUUUUUCUAUCGAUGUGGCUAUCAGUGCCCACAAUAGAGAUUUAGAUACAGCUUCAGCAACUCAGGUUAGCAGGGUGUUCCCUAUCCUCUGUAACAUGCUAGAAAAUAUAGCAGAAAGGUUUCAGUUAACGUUAUCAAAUUACUGUGUACCUGAGAUUUGACUAAUAAAAUUUCUAGAAGCUUUAUAAAUUCAGUCCUUGAUCUUAUACUUAAAAACUAAUUCAGCAGUAAACUUUUUUGCCAUAUCAAGUAUAUUUGUUGAAAUCUAAUUGAUAUGUCACUAAUCGGUGUUUUAGACAAACUCCAAAGGCCAUCCAUCAAUGUAAUUGCUAAUAUAUUAAGUGCAUCUGUACACAUUUACAUUGUAAAAUUAUAUAUUCUUAGGAUUUAAAAAUCAACAAUACAAAUUUUUCCUUAAUAUCUUUAUAUUUAAAUUUUUUUAUUCUAGUGUCUGACCUACUAAAGCUAGAAUAAUGCAGAACAGCUGUUUUUAUAAGUGAUAAUAUGCCAAAGAAAGUAUAUCAUAAGUGAUAAUAUGCCAAAGAAAGGAAGGUGGUAAUAAAAGAAAAAUAAUUUUCCUCAGCAUAAGCUUUGGCGAUUACUGCUAAGUGCAUAGCCGUCUUACAUUUUUAAAGCAUGACUAACGCAGAUACUGAAUUUCUCACAAUUGUGCAAAUUAACCAUGUAUGCUAUCUUUACCAUAUGAUUUGACUUUGAACAUGUCUUGAGAUGUUGCUGUUUCCUAAACAUUCCUUAGAUGGCACAAAAUGAAAAAUGUUUUUUUUUUUUCUGAACAAAAACAUGAACAAAGAAUUUUUUAUAAAGUAUGCAAGUCAGUUAUUUAAUUAUGAAACCAUCAUAUGCAACCAUUAUCUGGUCAUAAAUUUCCUUUUGGAAAAUAUACAGUUUUAACAGAUGCUGUUAUUGACUACAAAGCAAAAGGAAAAACAGAAAAAAAAAGAUACAUUCAUUUUCCCCCUCCACAACAGUUACACAAAAAUGCUUUAGUAUUUAUUGCAUGUAAAUCAUAUGCAGUUGAAUCAAUUUUCAAUGUACUUUGCCAGGUCUAUGACGAAAAACUGAGAUUAUAUUUUACUUUUUACUACACAUUAUUUUAUCAUUGCCAACUAAUGUUGGGACUAUUUAAACAGUGAAAAAUUCUCUGGCAUGGUAUUUAGAAUUUGUUAUUAGGGUAUCAUAGGAAGGAUGUACUGAGUUGGUGGUAAUUGAUUUAUCCUCAUCAUACUGAACCUCCCACUCUUCUUCCACUUUGUCCUCCCUUGGGCAAUAAUCACAGGGUUGAGCUGCCAAUCUGUAGACUUAAUUUUUUCCAGCAGUACCAUCUGGCUCCUUGGCACCAGAAGUUAUAUUGGUUCUUUGUGGUUGCUACUGAAUUUGUCAUAUUGUUAGACAGCUUAUAGGAUGUUCUUGCUAUUUGAUCCUAAUUUUCUUUCAAGUAAUUAUUGAUUAUUAUUUAGAGAAUCUUCCUGUGCUAUUUCUGAGAGCAUGGCAUGAUUUUAUUGUGAAAACAAACAAAAAAUAGAAUGUACCUAAACAAGUCGUAUGUCAGCCUGGAGCUUCUUUUCCCUGUAUUGUUUUCUAUUGAGUUCUCCUUUUCAAGAGAGAUUAAUUUAAGUUAAUCAUGAAGGUUUUCUGUCUCAUUUUAAUCCUGUAUACCUUUUACAAAAUCAUUCAAAUGUUCAUUUAAAAUCCUGUUAUGAGUGACAUCAUGUCCCAAUUGUGGCAAAUUUAUAAAUCUCUAUCAAUGGCCAGAUAACCUUCUAACAUCCAGCAGUAUUUUAUCCAUGUUUAAAGAUGGCUGCCUGUGUGAAUCUUGUAUUUUGUAGAUGAGGUGAUUUUACUGUCAUGUCUAAUAACAAUCAUAAACAGUUUAAAAGUAGAAUUGUGAAAAGUUCAUCUGAGUUUUAGUCAUUAAAAAGAAUUUCCAAACAUAUAUUUCUACAAACUUAAGUAGUUUUUCCAUCUUACAUUGUAAACUAGACGUUUUUGAUGAAGGCAAAAAUUUAUUUGCUCAUUUGUUUCUAAGAAAAGAUCAUAAACAAAAAUAAUUUCUUAAGCUCUUAAAGAAUCUGCAUAGAAAGCAGAUCACUUUGAAAAAUAUUUUUUUUUUUUUUUUUUGUAUUUGAUUGCAUUUUUAUUUAGUGGAACAAGAUAGACAUAUCUUUAAGAAAGUUUUUAGAGGCAUUCAUUCAUAUAUAUGAAAGUGUUUUCUCCUGAUUUUAACAUCUCAAUUAGAUUCUAUGUUAUCUGUUAGUUUAUAAUAAAGACAGGAUACUGAUAUGUUAAAAAUAUUUAUUUUGAAUUCUUUUUGUGGCUGGCAUAAUGAUAUUUGAAGUUCUUAAACAGAGAUUUAGCUGGGAUUAUUUUAGUACUACUGUAUUAGAAGUAGUAUUUUAAUAUUACUCUAUUAGAAGCCCACUAACCAUAAACUGGACUUUUCAGAGUAUUUUCAGAAUGUUAGAUAAAAUAUACAGUUAAAUUACUGUCAUUUGGUUAUGAUGUGAUGUUAAAAUCCAGUUGUUUAUAAUUUUUAGGUUUUAAGUAUGUAAAGGAAAUGAGCAAUAAAUGUCACUGUAAGAAGAGCUAAAUCAGAUGUCAGUGAGAUGAUUCAUGUGCUAACUGAAAUAGUUAGCAUGCAUUUUAUUCCACUGUCUAGCAGGAGGAGGUGGGCUAUAGAAAAAUGAAUUCUUCACUAAAUAAUUCACAACAAUUAUAUCAAAUUUUAAUAACUUGAACUAAGAAGGCAUACAUAUGAUUCAUGUUCUCACAAUCACCUACAUUAGAGAUUAAUUGUGCUUUCUUUAAGCAAAAAUGCACUGUUACAAAUGUUUUUAAUUGGCAAAUCAUGAUUAGUUUCAUAUUUAUAGAGUAGCAUCAUAUGAUCAGUUUUUAGAUAUAACCUAAGGUGAAGCUUAAAUAUCACAGCUAAUCUGUUGUCUUAAAUGCCAUCUCAUUAGAAUUUGCCCCUAAUAUCAAAAAAUGCCCUGAAUUGUUUGUUGGCUUUAUCUUAACUCAAAUAUGUAAAGGGGACAGUAGAGCAUUUUUCUUUGGAAUCACAGAGAGUUCAGUGACCUUUCUGUGGCAAAUUAUGUAGAAAGAAAAUAUUUAUAUUCAUUUAAAAUAACCUCCGUGAAGAAAUAGUCUCAUUACCCUGUUUGAUCAAUUUCUUGUAGCCUGAGCUGUAGCAUGCUGCUAUUGCCAUUGGUUGAUGGAAUACACUGAGUAGUGGCUAAUGGUGAUGGUGCUCAUCAGGAAGGGUUCAGCCAGCGGUCAGCAACAAAUAAUUCAAGACUGUUUCUAAGUUUGUGGCUGGUGGAAUUUGCUUCUUGCCCCAAGCCAGCGGCAUUGCUGAGCUGGGCUAUUUGAUUAGAAGAGAGGCAUAUUUGCUUCUUAGCAACUGCACAUUUGCACAACCCAUAGUCCUCUACUGCCUCCAAAGGUUUUCCUUUUGUGAUAGUAGAAUAAUACUUUAUUGUUGAUUGACAGACAAAAGAGGUUCUAAUACAAGGCAAGCUUAUAACCAUUUUUGUAGUUGUUGGCUUUUAAAUAUUUCAGCUACAUUUACCAUUUUUUGAAAAAGUAGAGACCAAACAUAUGUAUAGUGUAAAUAGGUAUUGAAAUCCCAUGUGUUAGAAUUUCAAUAUGCAUAUUAGCAAGGAGGUUUGCAUCGCAUGAAUUGAAUACUUUUUUUGCAUAGCAGGUUCAAUGGUAGAAAAUAAAGUCUGACCCUUGUCGAUACUCUGGGUAUAUGCACCUUCCAACUAGAAUUAAUGCUAGAUAAAAUUUAACUAAUGUUUUAAAGAAAAACUAAUGUUAGCAGAGUUGUUAUAGAUCUUUUUUCACACUUAAGAACUGGUUUUUAGAAAUCAAAUUUUGAAUUGUGAUUGCAUUGUGGGCACAGAAUUUGGAACAUAGUUCUUACAGGAAUGAGUCUUCAGAAGAAAAUAUGUGUCUUUAAUAGAAGACAAAGGUAUUUAUAACCCAGCAGUUAAGAAGCAAGUGAGACAAGAUAAAUUUGGGAAGGACAGUCUUGAGUUUUAUGAUCCUGGGAAACCAGGACUGGAAAAAAAGUAGUUUUUUUUUUUUUUUAACAUAGUUUUAUGGCUUUUCUCAUUGAAACUAUAUGGUUAGGGCUUGAAUCUCAAGAUUUUUAAGGCAGAUGAUUUAAAAAGUAGUGUGACUAUAGAUGAUGCUAAUUUUACUCUUGUUAUUUUAUGAUGAUUGGUUUUUAGAAAAAUAAAAACAUAUAGUACCAUAAAGAAAUAGUGAAAAACUAUUUUGAGCCAAUAUAUUUUGAUAUACAUGAUCUAAAUCCAUUGUUUUGUAUAAAUUGUUGACAUCACUCGCAGUAAAAUGAAAUUGCAUAUGUAAGAUGAAUUAAGGUUAAUUUAAAAAUAUUCUUCUAUGAAGUUGUAUUUUGAACAUAGUAAUUUUUUUCCUAUUUAAAAGAUGUUUGUUCAAUUUUUGUCUCCUAAGAUUUAUGACAGAUGAAAGAAUUUUCAUAAUUUAAAAUAAACAACCAAAAAAGUG